rnacentral:rRNA from 1 species
CAGGCCUAACACAUGCAAGUCGGACGGGAUUUGGGAGCUUGCUCCUAAUGAGAGUGGCGCACGGGUGCGUAACACGUAUGUAACCUACCUUAAUCAGGGGGAUAGCCUCUCGAAAGAGAGAUUAACACCGCAUAACAUAUUUUUAUGGCAUCGUAGAAAUAUCAAAUAUUUAUAGGAUUAAGAUGGGCAUGCGGAACAUUAGCUAGUUGGUAAGGCAACGGCUUACCAAGGCUACGAUGUUUAGGGGAUCUGAGAGGAUGACCCCCCACACUGGUACUGAGACACGGACCAGACUCCUACGGGAGGCAGCAGUAAGGAAUAUUGGUCAAUGGGCGCAAGCCUGAACCAGCCAUGCCGCGUGCAGGAAGACGGCCCUAUGGGUUGUAAACUGCUUUUGUACCGGAAUAAACCCUUUUACGAGUAGAAGGCUGAAUGUACGGUAAGAAUAAGGAUCGGCUAACUCCGUGCCAGCAGCCGCGGUAAU